GCAGUACACCAGUAGAAAAGGUUUUUAUUUUUGUAAAAAAAAGAAAUUGAGCGCAUGGUUGCUUUUGCAUGCCAAAAGAACGAAUAUUAGAAAACAUUGAAAAAAAGUCAGAGAUAAUACAAUUAUAUUCUACUAAAAAUAAACACAAUAGUGUGCGCUAAUUAGAUAAUGUGAUAAUCAUGUUUAAAAAUUUUUUUCAACCCUUUUUUUCAGAAAAUAAUGUUGCGGAUCGGAUUGCUCUGAGCGCUUGUCUUGGUUACCAAGAAAAUGCAGCCCUGUUGGUUUUUAUAUCUGUAUCGCAUCGCGACUAUUAAUUACAAGCACAGAAUCAUCAACGGUGAUUGCAAGGAGAACUACUGCAAUCCCUGCGAUUUUUCCUCUGGUCGUGACCGAGGGUGGUCUCCAAAAUCAUAGGACAUGUCAUAAUUGCAGGCUAUUGUUGCAGAACAAAACGUCGCAACCACUGCUGUGGUAAAUAUUUACCAGCAGUACUGCCCACCGCCGUCGGUGCAACGAUUUCGAUAGCUGAACAAACGCCAGGAGGGGCAUUCCCACAGCUUGCCGACACCAGCUAUUAUAUCACGUGUGAAUGCAACUGCGGCUAAAUUUGGUUAUUAUCAGUGCCAUAGUGCCAUGUCAUUGGCAAAAACACUAAAGGCUGUUGGCACAUACAGGUUGUAAAGUCUUUGGUAUGGAUGAACUUACUCGAAGAAGACAAUGGCCGAAAACAUAUGAUGAAACAUCUUCUGGUAUGCCUUUCGUUAAGUUAGACGGAGGCUUCACAUACAAUAUUUCACACAUUCGUUAGCGGACAGAGCACACAAUUACAAAAUAUUUAUCGUACUGCAGAACAUGCAUGGAUAUUCAAUUCCGAUUUUAUGGGUCGAUUACGGAGGACAACCGAACUUCAGUUGGUUGGCCGGCGGCUGAAAUGUGGGGCUGUCCAUCGAUAACCCAACUGAGAUUCCAUUGCCAUCCAUAGUCGAUCUAUAAGUCAUAAUCGCACGAACUAAUUAAGGCUAUCACAGAAUCCAUCGUAGUUCGAUUUUUCGUGAAAUCUAUUGAUCGCUUUUUCGUAGAUUUUAUGAAAAAUCGGACUACGAUGGAUUCCGUGAUAGCCACCAAUAUGUAUUCUCCUUUGACAAGAUGUUGGAGAAUCGUGGCAACACAGCCGUAUACCUACUCUGUGCUUUUACGCGCAUAUGCUAAAUUUAUCGCACCUAGCUAAAGUGCUUGACAAAGCCUUCUUCAACAUUAUAACUUAAAGUAAAAAAGGUUAAGGCAUGCAAUAAAAGAAUACAACAGAACCAAAAAUAUUCU